GAUGAACGCUGGCGGCGUGCCUAAUACAUGCAAGUCGAGCGAACAGACGAGGAGCUUGCUCCUCUGACGUUAGCGGCGGACGGGUUAGUAACACGUGGAUAACCUACCUAUAAGACUGGGAUAACUUCGGGAAACCGGAGCUAAUACCGGAUAAUAUAUUGAACCGCAUGGUUCAAUAGUGAAAGACGGUUUUGCUGUCACUUAUAGAUGGAUCCGCGCCGCAUUAGCUAGUUGGUAAGGUAACGGCUUACCAAGGCGACGAUGCGUAGCCGACCUGAGAGGGUGAUCGGCCACACUGGAACUGAGACACGGUCCAGACUCCUACGGGAGGCAGCAGUAGGGAAUCUUCCGCAAAGGGCGAAAGCCUGACGGAGCAACGCCGCGUGAGUGAUGAAGGUCUUCGGAUCGUAAAACUCUGUUAUUAGGGAAGAACAAAUGUGUAAGUAACUAUGCACGUCUUGACGGUACCUAAUCAGAAAGCCACGGCUAACUACGUG
rnacentral:rRNA from 1 species